GACGAACGCUGGCGGCGUGCUUAACACAUGCAAGUCGAACGGUGAAGCUCCAGCUUGCUGGAGUGGAUCAGUGGCGAACGGGUGAGUAACACGUGAGCAACCUGCCCCUGACUCUGGAAUAAGCGCUGGAAACGGCGUCUAAUACUGGAUACGAAAAGGGUCCGCAUGGGCACUUUCUGGAAAGUUUUUCGGUUGGGGAUGGGCUCGCGGCCUAUCAGCUUGUUGGUGAGGUAAUGGCUCACCAAGGCGACGACGGGUAGCCGGCCUGAGAGGGCGACCGGCCACACUGGGACUGAGACACGGCCCAGACUCCUACGGGAGGCAGCAGUGGGGAAUAUUGCACAAUGGGCGAAAGCCUGAUGCAGCGACGCCGCGUGAGGGAUGACGGCCUUCGGGUUGUAAACCUCUUUCAGCAGGGAAGAAGCGAAAGUGACGGUACCUGCAGAAGAAGCACCGGCUAACUACGUG
rnacentral:rRNA from 1 species